GAAAACCUUAGAGGAUAGAGAUCAUGUAGCUCCGUUACAACACAGCUAGCCAUCUGGUUUUCUUAUCCGCCACUAAUUAAUCAAUGUGAAGCAGCCAGAUAAGUAAUAAUUACCAUUAUAACAAACCACAGAAAGAUAUCCAGAGAUUGCCAAGAGGUCCAUCCUAGUGUUAGAAGCAACCAGGUCAAACCCCAUCAGAAGAUGCCUAGUCAGACUGGGAGGGACAUUCCAGGCAAAGGCACAGCUUGUAUUCCAGAAGCUCAAAAAUGGGCAGGAGCACAGUGACCUGGAACAGAGAGAUAAAGGGACGCUCAUGAGAGAUUUACACUGUAGGAUGAUAGAUCAGCAUUUUAUGUUGUAAGUGAGAGGCAAGUACAGGGAAAUAUCAUCAUGUGAAAAAGCUGGGAGGAAAAACAGACUCAUUCAUUUGUUCAUUCAUUCAUACAUUCAUUCAACAAAUUCUUAUGGAGCCCAAUCUUUGUGCACAACUGUUCUAGGUACAAGAACUAACAAUGAACAGAACAAAGGGGUGUGUGAUCCAGUCCUUGCUCUGUUCACUGAGCUCUGCCCAGCGGCUGGUUGCUUUCACACGAGGAAAACCUUUUUUUCUGCUCUCUUGGCACAAAUUGCUGGAGCUGAAUGUACCAGGGUGGGUGAAGGGGAGGAUGAGGUCAGAGAGGUAACAGGGCCAGGCAAGCCAUUGUCAGGAUUUUGGAUUUUACUGUGUACGGAAUGUGUUUGCCAGAACAAUGCGGGAGUUGCAGAGAGAGGUGUCCUGUGUUUGUUCCCAGUCUUCCUUCACUCACCUGCACCUGCUCCUGCCCUGCUUCGGCCAACAUGUUCUAUGCAGGCAUUAUAGUAUACAUAGCCUUGGAAUCAGAAGACCAAGAACAUACAAGAGAACAUAGCCUUGGAAUCAGAAGACCAAGAAACAAUUUAACUCUGCCCCUCUAGAGCUCUGAGAACUUGGGCAAGCCUUUUACCCUCUUGAAUUUUUGCCACCUUCAAUGAGAAAGACUGAAACAAAAAACUCAGAAGAAAGAAAGAGACUGAGAUAGCAAAUAUGACAAACUGUUAAAAAUUCAUGAAUCUGUUAUGGAAUACUAUGCAGCCAUAAAAAAGGAUGAGUUCCUGUCCUUUGCAAGGACGUGUAUGAAGCUGGAAACCAUCAUUCUGAGCAAACUAAAACAGGAACAGAAAACCAAACACCACAUGUUCUCACUCAUAAGUGGGAGUUGAACAAUGAGAACACAUGGACACGGCGGGGUGGUGGGAACAUCACACACCGGGGCCUGUCAGAGGGGAGGGGGCUAGGGGAGAGAUAGCAUUAGGAGAAAUACCUAAUGUAGAUGAUGGGUUGAUGGGUGCAGCAAACCACCAUGGCAUGUGUAUACCUAUGUAACAAACCUGCAUGUUCUGCACAUGUAUCCCAGAACUUAAAGUAUAAUAAUAAAAAGAGAGAUUAAAAAAAUUGGUGAAUCUGGGCAAAAUGUACACAGGAUUUUUCUGUACUGUUCUUGCAACUUUUCUACAGAUUUGAAAUGUUACAAAAUAAAAGGUAUUUUUAGAAAAA
rnacentral:lncRNA from 1 species